GACGAACGCUGGCGGCGUGCUUAACACAUGCAAGUCGAACGGUGAAGCGCCUUCCUUUUUGGUGGGUGUGGAUGAGUGGCGAACGGGUGAGUAACACGUGAGUAACCUGCCCCCUUCUUCUGGAUAACCGCAUGAAAGUGUGGCUAAUACGGGAUAUUCUGGGUCUGUCGCAUGAUGGGUCUGGGAAAGAUAUUGUUUCGGUGGGGGAUGGGCUCGCGGCCUAUCAGCUUGUUGGUGGGGUGAUGGCCUACCAAGGCGGUGACGGGUAGCCGGCCUGAGAGGGUGGACGGUCACACUGGGACGGAGCCACGGACCAGACUCCUACGGGAGGCAGCAGUGGGGAAUAUUGCACAAUGGGCGCAAGCCUGAUGCAGCGACGCCGCGUGAGGGAUGGAGGCCGUCGGGUUGUGAACCUCUUUCGCCAGUGAAGCAGGCCUGCCUCGUUUGUGGGUGGGUUGACGGUAGCUGGAUAAGAAGCGCCGGCUAACUACGUG
rnacentral:rRNA from 1 species